rnacentral:rRNA from 1 species
UACGUAGGGGGCAAGCGUUGUCCGGAUUCAUUGGGCGUAAAGAGCGUGUAGGCGGCCCGGUAAGUCCGCUGUGAAAGUCGGGGGCUCAACCCUCGAAUGCCGGUGGAUACUGUCGGGCUAGAGUGCGGAAGAGGCGAGUGGAAUUCCUGGUGUAGCGGUGAAAUGCGCAGAUAUCAGGAGGAACACCGAUUGCGAAGGCAGCUCGCUGGGACGUCACUGACGCUGAGACGCGAAAGCGUGGGGGAGCAAACAGG